UGGGGAAUCUUGCACAAUGGGCGAAAGCCUGAUGCAGCGACGCCGCGUGGGGGAUGAAGCAUUUCGGUGUGUAAACCCCUUUCGACCGGGAAGAAUGCCUCGCAAGAGGACUGACGAUACCGGUAGAAGAAGCCCCGGCUAACUACGUGCCAGCAGCCGCGGUAAGACGUAGGGGGCCAGCGUUGUUCGGAAUUACUGGGUGUAAAGGGUUCGUAGGCGGUGUGGCAAGUUGGGAGUGAAAUCUCUGGGCUUAACCCAGAGGCUGCUUCCAAAACUGCUGUGCUUGAGUGUGGGAGAGGUGCGUGGAAUUGCAGGUGUAGCGGUGAAAUGCGUAGAUAUCUGCAGGAACACCCGUGGCGAAAGCGGCGCACUGGACCACAACUGACGCUGAGGAACGAAAGCUAGGGGAGCAAACAGGAUUAGAUACCCUGGUAGUCCUAGCCCUAAACGAUCAGGACUUGGGGUGGCUCACGUUCGUGAGUCGUCCCGGGGCUAACGCGUUAAGUCCUGCACCUGGGGAGUACGGUCGCAAGAC
rnacentral:rRNA from 1 species